UACGUAGGUGGCAAGCGUUGUCCGGAAUUAUUGGGCGUAAAGCGCGCGCAGGCGGUCCUUUAAGUCUGAUGUGAAAGCCCACGGCUCAACCGUGGAGGGUCAUUGGAAACUGGGGAACUUGAGUGGAGGAGAGAAGAGUGGAAUUCCACGUGUAGCGGUGAAAUGCGUAGAGAUGUGGAGGAACACCAGUGGCGAAGGCGACUCUGUGGCCUGUAACUGACACUGAGGCGCGAAAGCGUGGGGAGCAAACAGG
rnacentral:rRNA from 1 species